UGGGGAAUAUUGCACAAUGGGCGCAAGCCUGAUGCAGCCAUGCCGCGUGUAUGAAGAAGGCCUUCGGGUUGUAAAGUACUUUCAGCGGGGAGGAAGGCGAUAAGGUUAAUAACCUUGUCGAUUGACGUUACCCGCAGAAGAAGCACCGGCUAACUCCGUGCCAGCAGCCGCGGUAAUACGGGGGGUGCAAGCGUUAAUCGGAGUUACUGGGCGUAAAGCGCACGCAGGCGGUCUGUCAAGUCGGAUGUGAAAUCCCCGGGCUCAACCUGGGAACUGCAUUCGAAACUGGCAGGCUAGAGUCUUGUAGAGGGGGGUAGAAUUCCAGGUGUAGCGGUGAAAUGCGUAGAGAUCUGGAGGAAUACCGGUGGCGAAGGCGGCCCCCUGGACAAAGACUGACGCUCAGGUGCGAAAGCGUGGGGAGCAAACA
rnacentral:rRNA from 1 species